GACGAACGCUGGCGGCGUGCUUAACACAUGCAAGUCGAACGGAAAGGCCCUGCUUUUGUGGGGUGCUCGAGUGGCGAACGGGUGAGUAACACGUGAGUAACCUGCCCUUGACUUUGGUAUAACUUCAGGAAACUGGGGCUAAUACCGGAUAGGAGCUCCUGCUGCAUGGUGGGUGUUGGAAAGUUUCGGCGGUUGGGGAUGGACUCGCGGCUUAUCAGCUUGUUGGUGGGGUAGUGGCUUACCAAGGCUUUGACGGGUAGCCGGCCUGAGAGGGUGACCGGCCACAUUGGGACUGAGAUACGGCCCAGACUCCUACGGGAGGCAGCAGUGGGGAAUAUUGCACAAUGGGCGGAAGCCUGAUGCAGCAACGCCGCGUGCGGGAUGACGGCCUUCGGGUUGUAAACCGCUUUCGCCUGUGACGAAGCGUGAGUGACGGUAAUGGGUAAAGAAGCACCGGCUAACUACGUG
rnacentral:rRNA from 1 species